rnacentral:rRNA from 1 species
UUAAGCGACUAAGCGUACACGGUGGAUGCCCUGGCAGUCAGAGGCGAUGAAGGACGUGCUAAUCUGCGAUAAGCGUCGGUAAGGUGAUAUGAACCGUUAUAACCGGCGAUUUCCGAAUGGGGAAACCCAGUGUGUUUCGACACACUAUCAUUAACUGAAUCCAUAGGUUAAUGAGGCGAACCGGGGGAACUGAAACAUCUAAGUACCCCGAGGAAAAGAAAUCAACCGAGAUUCCCCCAGUAGCGGCGAGCGAACGGGGAGCAGCCCAGAGCCUGAAUCAGUGUGUGUGUUAGUGGAAGCGUCUGGAAAGGCGCGCGAUACAGGGUGACAGCCCCGUACACAAAAAUGCACAUGCUGUGAGCUCGAUGAGUAGGGCGGGACACGUGGUAUCCUGUCUGAAUAUGGGGGGACCAUCCUCCAAGGCUAAAUACUCCUGACUGACCGAUAGUGAACCAGUACCGUGAGGGAAAGGCGAAAAGAACCCCGGCGAGGGGAGUGAAAAAGAACCUGAAACCGUGUACGUACAAGCAGUGGGAGCACGCUUAGGCGUGUGACUGCGUACCUUUUGUAUAAUGGGUCAGCGACUUAUAUUCUGUAGCAAGGUUAACCGAAUAGGGGAGCCGAAGGGAAACCGAGUCUUAACUGGGCGUUAAGUUGCAGGGUAUAGACCCGAAACCCGGUGAUCUAGCCAUGGGCAGGUUGAAGGUUGGGUAACACUAACUGGAGGACCGAACCGACUAAUGUUGAAAAAUUAGCGGAUGACUUGUGGCUGGGGGUGAAAGGCCAAUCAAACCGGGAGAUAGCUGGUUCUCCCCGAAAGCUAUUUAGGUAGCGCCUCGUGAAUUCAUCUCCGGGGGUAGAGCACUGUUUCGGCAAGGGGGUCAUCCCGACUUACCAACCCGAUGCAAACUGCGAAUACCGGAGAAUGUUAUCACGGGAGACACACGGCGGGUGCUAACGUCCGUCGUGAAGAGGGAAACAACCCAGACCGCCAGCUAAGGUCCCAAAGUCAUGGUUAAGUGGGAAACGAUGUGGGAAGGCCCAGACAGCCAGGAUGUUGGCUUAGAAGCAGCCAUCAUUUAAAGAAAGCGUAAUAGCUCACUGGUCGAGUCGGCCUGCGCGGAAGAUGUAACGGGGCUAAACCAUGCACCGAAGCUGCGGCAGCGACGCUGAUGCGUUGUUGGGUAGGGGAGCGUUCUGUAAGCCUGCGAAGGUGUGCUGUGAGGCAUGCUGGAGGUAUCAGAAGUGCGAAUGCUGACAUAAGUAACGAUAAAGCGGGUGAAAAGCCCGCUCGCCGGAAGACCAAGGGUUCCUGUCCAACGUUAAUCGGGGCAGGGUGAGUCGACCCCUAAGGCGAGGCCGAAAGGCGUAGUCGAUGGGAAACAGGUUAAUAUUCCUGUACUUGGUGUUACUGCGAAGGGGGGACGGAGAAGGCUAUGUUGGCCGGGCGACGGUUGUCCCGGUUUAAGCGUGUAGGCUGGUUUUCCAGGCAAAUCCGGAAAAUCAAGGCUGAGGCGUGAUGACGAGGCACUACGGUGCUGAAGCAACAAAUGCCCUGCUUCCAGGAAAAGCCUCUAAGCAUCAGGUAACAUCAAAUCGUACCCCAAACCGACACAGGUGGUCAGGUAGAGAAUACCAAGGCGCUUGAGAGAACUCGGGUGAAGGAACUAGGCAAAAUGGUGCCGUAACUUCGGGAGAAGGCACGCUGAUAUGUAGGUGAGGUCCCUCGCGGAUGGAGCUGAAAUCAGUCGAAGAUACCAGCUGGCUGCAACUGUUUAUUAAAAACACAGCACUGUGCAAACACGAAAGUGGACGUAUACGGUGUGACGCCUGCCCGGUGCCGGAAGGUUAAUUGAUGGGGUCAGCGCAAGCGAAGCUCUUGAUCGAAGCCCCGGUAAACGGCGGCCGUAACUAUAACGGUCCUAAGGUAGCGAAAUUCCUUGUCGGGUAAGUUCCGACCUGCACGAAUGGCGUAAUGAUGGCCAGGCUGUCUCCACCCGAGACUCAGUGAAAUUGAACUCGCUGUGAAGAUGCAGUGUACCCGCGGCAAGACGGAAAGACCCCGUGAACCUUUACUAUAGCUUGACACUGAACAUUGAGCCUUGAUGUGUAGGAUAGGUGGGAGGCUUAGAAGUGUGGACGCCAGUCUGCAUGGAGCCGACCUUGAAAUACCACCCUUUAAUGUUUGAUGUUCUAACGUUGACCCGUAAUCCGGGUUGCGGACAGUGUCUGGUGGGUAGUUUGACUGGGGCGGUCUCCUCCUAAAGAGUAACGGAGGAGCACGAAGGUUGGCUAAUCCUGGUCGGACAUCAGGAGGUUAGUGCAAUGGCAUAAGCCAGCUUGACUGCGAGCGUGACGGCGCGAGCAGGUGCGAAAGCAGGUCAUAGUGAUCCGGUGGUUCUGAAUGGAAGGGCCAUCGCUCAACGGAUAAAAGGUACUCCGGGGAUAACAGGCUGAUACCGCCCAAGAGUUCAUAUCGACGGCGGUGUUUGGCACCUCGAUGUCGGCUCAUCACAUCCUGGGGCUGAAGUAGGUCCCAAGGGUAUGGCUGUUCGCCAUUUAAAGUGGUACGCGAGCUGGGUUUAGAACGUCGUGAGACAGUUCGGUCCCUAUCUGCCGUGGGCGCUGGAGAACUGAGGGGGGCUGCUCCUAGUACGAGAGGACCGGAGUGGACGCAUCACUGGUGUUCGGGUUGUCAUGCCAAUGGCACUGCCCGGUAGCUAAAUGCGGAAGAGAUAAGUGCUGAAAGCAUCUAAGCACGAAACUUGCCCCGAGAUGAGUUCUCCCUGACUCCUUGAGAGUCCUGAAGGAACGUUGAAGACGACGACGUUGAUAGGCCGGGUGUGUAAGCGCAGCGAUGCGUUGAGCUAACCGGUACUAAUGAACCGUGAGGCUUAACCUU